UACGUAGGGUCCAAGCGUUAUCCGGAAUCACUGGGCGUAAAGCGUGCGUAGGUGGCGCGUUAAGUGAGAUGUUAAAUCGUGUGGCUCAACCAUAUCGAUGCAUCUCAUACUGGCGUGCUAGAGGACAGCAGAGGCAAGUGGAAUUGGUAGUGUAGCAGUGAAAUGCGUAGAUAUUACCAGGAGCACCAAUGGCGAAGGCAGCUUGCUGGGCUACUCCUGACACUGAGGUACGAAAGCGUGGGGAGCGAACAGG
rnacentral:rRNA from 1 species